UACCAGCACCCCGAGUUGUCGGGACGAUUAUUGGGCCUAAAGCAUCCGUAGCCUGUUCUGCAAGUCCUCCGUUAAAUCCACCUGCUUAACGGAUGGGCCGCGGGGGAUACUGCAGAGCUAGGAGGCGGGAGAGGCAAACGGUACUCAGUGGGUAGGGGUAAAAUCCAUUGAUCUACUGAAGACCACCAGUGGCGAAGGCGU
rnacentral:rRNA from 1 species